GACGAACGCUGGCGGCGUGCCUAAUACAUGCAAGUCGAACGAACCGCGACUAAGUGCUUGCACUAAGUCAAGGUGAGUGGCGAACGGGUGAGUAACACGUGGGUAACCUACCUCAUAGUGGGGGAUAACAGUCGGAAACGACUGCUAAUACCGCAUAGGACAUAGGAUCACAUGAUCCAGUGAGGAAAGGUGGCGCAAGCUAUCGCUAAGAGAUGGACCCGCGGUGCAUUAGCUAGUUGGUAGGGUAAAGGCCUACCAAGGCGAUGAUGCAUAGCCGACCUGAGAGGGUGAUCGGCCACAUUGGGACUGAGACACGGCCCAAACUCCUACGGGAGGCAGCAGUAGGGAAUCUUCCGCAAUGGACGCAAGUCUGACGGAGCAACGCCGCGUGAGUGAAGAAGGUCUUCGGAUCGUAAAGCUCUGUUGUUAGAGAAGAACAGCGCAUAGAGUAACUGCUAUGCGUGUGACG
rnacentral:rRNA from 1 species